CGACGCUGGCGGCGUGCUUCAUACAUGCAAGUCGAACGAGAAAUUCACUUCGGUGGAUGGAAAGUGGCGGACGGGUGAGUAAUGUGUAGAGAAUCUGCCCUAGAGUGGGGGACAACAGAGGGAAACUCCUGCUAAUACCCCAUAUGCGCGUAGUUGAGAUACUAUUCGUGAAAGAUUUAUUGCUCUGGGAUGAGUCUGCAUCUGAUUAGCUAGUUGGGGGUGUAAUGGACCACCAAGGCGACGAUCAGUAGCUGGCCUGAGAGGGUGUACGGCCACAUUGGGACUGAGACACGGCCCAAACUCC
rnacentral:rRNA from 1 species